rnacentral:rRNA from 1 species
UUCUUGAAAAUCAUUUAAGUUGGCGGUAUUUUAGUCUAUUCAGAGGAACCUGUUCUAUAAUCGAUAGUCCACGAAUUUUUGUACUUAAUUUAGUAGUUUAUAUAUCGCUGUAUUGUUGAAUAUUUUUUAAUAAAAUUAAUAUUCAAGAAGUUUUUUAUGAAUAAAGAUCAAGUCAAGAUAUAGCUUAUAAUUAAGUAGAAAUGGGUUACAAUAAUUGUAUUUAAAUGGAUUAAUAAUUAAAAUUGUUAUGAAGGUGGAUUUGAAAGUAAUUUUUAAAAAUUUGUAAGAUGAUUUAAGCUCUAAAAUAUGUACAUAUCGCCCGUCACUUUCAUUUUAAAGUGGAAUAAGUCGUAACAAAGUAGAUAUACUGGAAAGUGUAUCUAGAAUGAUCAAAUUAAAGCUUAUGAAGCAUUUUAGUUACAUUAAAAAGUUUAUUGUAAAUUCAAUAUAAUUUGAAUGUAAAUUUUUAUUUAAUUUUAAAAUAUGUAAUUUUAUUAAAAUAAGAAUAUUUUAUUUAAUUAAAAUGUAUGAAUAAAUAUAUAUAAUUAUAGAUUAAUAGUAUUGUAUAAGAAUAUUAUUUUAUUUUAAAAAGAAAAAUUUAUUUUUUGUACCUGGGUAUCAGGGA